rnacentral:rRNA from 1 species
AACGAACGCUGGCGGCAUGCCUAACACAUGCAAGUCGAACGAGACCUGCGGGUCUAGUGGCGCACGGGUGCGUAACGCGGGGGAACCUGCCCUUAGGUUCGGAAUAACUCCCCGAAAGGGGUGCUAAUACCGGAUAAUGUCUUCGGACCAAAGAUUUAUCGCCCUUGGAUGGGCCCGCGUUGGAUUAGCUAGUUGGUAGGGUAAAAGCCUACCAAGGCGUCGAUCGAUAGCUGGUCUGAGAGGAUGAUCAGCCACACUGGGACUGAGACACGGCCCAGACUACUACGGGAGGCGGCAGUGGGGAAUAUUGGACAAUGGGCGAAAGCAUGAACGAGCAAUGCCGCGUGAGUGAUGAAGGCCUUAGGGUAGUAAAGCUCUUUUACCCGGGGUGAUAAUGACGGUACCGAGAGAAUAAGCUCCGGCUAACUCCGUG